CACUUCUUUCUGUAUUUUACAUGUGGUAUCUGCAGUAGGCCAGUAUGUGCAGAUCUCAGGUCACGUAUAGGAACAUAUGAAGACAGACAUUCAGUAAGGUAGAGACGUGCUAGGUCGUUUAAAGCUUUAAAAACAAGUAAAAGAACUUUCAAAUUUAUCCUCGUUAAUAAAGGUGACCAGUGAAGGUUUUUCAAAACAGGAGUGAUAUUCUCUUUCUCGUAUUUGUUAGGAUCUGUGCUACUGCAUUUCGAACAAGUAGUAAGGGAUUUAUAGUUUUCUUGGGAAGCCCACAAAACAGAGCAUUACAAUUAUAUCCACAUCAAUGUGAGCAAUGGAGAAGUCAAAUUAACGUGUCUAAAUAUCAUCUAGUUCUAUCCCAUGGAAGAGGGCUGUUGCCUACUCAGAUGACAAAACACAAAACGCUCAACUCUGCAAAACACGCAUAAGGACAUCAGUCAGGAGGAACAAGACAUUAAGAGGAAGGACACAUUCACCCUUGGUAGAGAUUCAGUUGUUCUUUGAGAUGUCAAGGAGUCUACUAACUCCAAGGACAA